rnacentral:rRNA from 1 species
GUGGAUUAGAUACCCUGGUAGUCCACGCCGUAAACGAUGGGCACUAGGUGUGGGGGGUGUCGACUCCCUCCGUGCCGACGCUAACGCAUUAAGUGCCCCGCCUGGGGAGUACGGCCGCAAGGCUAAAACUCAAAGGAAUUGACGGGGGCCCGCACAAGCAGCGGAGCAUGUGGUUUAAUUCGACGCAACGCGAAGAACCUUACCUGGGCUUGACAUGUUCCUGACCGCCGUGGAAACACGGUUUCCCUUCGGGGCAGGAUCACAGGUGGUGCAUGGUCGUCGACAGCU